CUCAAUUACUAGAGCGCGUCCGAGGAGGCGCAUCCGAUCUCCUCUCCCUCCUCCUCCUGCUCCUACCCUCUUCCUCCUCCUCCUCCUCCUCCUCCUUUACUUCCUCCCCCGCCGGACCGGUCUGGAACGCCGUGACCGAAAAUGGUGCGCUGGUGUCGGUGAGGAUGGCCCCGGACGAGCCCCAUCUCGUCCUCACUCCAUGUUGGAAACGGACCGAGGAAGAGGAGGAGGACGAGGAGGACGAGAAGGAACGGUGACGUCAGACCCGAAGGACUGCAGAGUCACGUGCUUUUACCAAAUUAUAAUAAAGAUAAUUGAACAUUUUGUAAUUUGCAAAAAAAAUAGCUAUUAAAAAUACACCUUUUAAAGCUAUUUUAAUUCUAAAAUACGUGCUAUCAUUAAAUAUGUCGUUUUUAAAUGAUAGUAUGUAUAAUAUCAGUUGCAAUUAGAAGUAUUAUACAUGAGCAAUUGAAAACUGGAACAGGUACAAUGAGAGCAGCAUAGUGUUAAGUAUCCCUGUACCAGUAGUACCACUACUGAGUAAUGUAUUGUGUAUGUGAGUUUUCAAUAGCGGUAGUAAUAGAGGAAGGACUGUAGUAGUAUUAGGAGUAGUGGGCGUAGUAUCAGUACUGUAACAAAGUGCACAUGAUAGCAUCCUUCUUAAAUAUCACACAAACACUGUUAACAUGUGUUUUCAUUUGUAUAAUUUCCUGUGAGCAAAGAAGACCGCAACGUGAUUUUCAGUGACACCUGGCGGCAGGGUCGUGCUACAGCAGCUUCACUCCACAUCUGCUCCACAGCUGGUCUCUACAACAAUCUUCAGUGUUUGAUGUUUAUUUGGUGAAGAAAUAGUAGAAGUGACCCUCUGCAUGUGUUUUAUUUAAUCACAGUUUGGUGUAGAUGCUCAGCUUCCUGUCCAGUGUUUUAGAGUUUGAUUAAUAAAAUCUUCUGACCUUUGUAUGAUGUCCAGUCCAGGCAAAGCUACGUGUCAGAGUUGGACACAUGAGGUCCUCCGCUGUUCAGAACUCCCGCCGAUGGCUAAGUUCAUGUUCAUUUUAAAGUUUU
ensembl:lncRNA